rnacentral:rRNA from 1 species
UCCCGCGUAAUUUAAGCAUAUUAAUAAGCGGAGGAAAAGAAACUAACUAGGAUUCCCUUAGUAGCUGCGAGCGAACAGGGAAGAGCCCAGCACUGAAUCCUGCGCGCCAAGCGCGCGUUUGGAAAUGAAGUGUUUGGGAGGGGCCGAUUAUCUCGUGAGAGCGCACCAGUCCAAGACCAUCUUGAAAGCGGGCACAGCCCACAGAGGGUGUCAGGCCCGUAGAACUCUAAGUGGGUGGUAAACUCCAUCUAGNNNNNNNNNNNNNNNNNNNNNNNNNNNNNNNNNNNNNNNNNNNNNNNNNNGUAGCCAAACGACUCGCAAGGUAGUCGCGGGGCGGUCCCCGCUUAAACCGCGGGGCCGCCCAGCGGCCGGCUCACUAACACUGGGCACGCGUGUCGUGCCAGCGACGCUCUAUCUAGAGCAUCAUCCGACCCGUCUUGAAACACGGACCAAGGAGUCUAACAUGUGCGCGAGUCAUUGGGACCCGAACUAAACCUAGAGGCGUAAUGAAAGUGAAUGUCGGCCGCCUCGGCGGCCGGGCAGAGGGGAGAUGGUGGCCGGCCUAGCGUCGCGUCGCCCGCAUCCCCGGGGCGUCUCGUUGUCAUUGCGACACAGCAGGCGCACCCAGAGCGUACACGUUGGGACCCGAAAGAUGGUGAACUAUGCCUGGUCAGGUCGAAGUCAGGGGAACUGGCACUCGGAGCAAAUGCACGAAGCGUCGGUGGUAACGGCGCGCGUUUCGGCGCGCGCCGCGCCGGUCGCAAACACCAGUCUCAUCUGGUAAAGCGAAUGAUUAGAGGCCUUGGGGCCGAAACGACCUCAACCUAUUCUCAAACUUUAAAUGGGUGAGACAUUCGACUUGCUUAAAUGCCAUGUCGUUGAAGUCGGAACCCAGCCGCGCCGCGUCCGUAUUUAUGCGGGCGCGCGCGCGGAUGCACAAUGGAUGAAAGAGUGCCAAGUGGGCCAAUUUUGGUAAGCAGAACUGGUGCUGUGGGAUGAACCAAACGUCGCGUUAAGGCGCCUAAAUCGAUGCUCCGAUGUUGAUGUGCUGUCGUUUCACACUUUCGAUUUUUAACAAUCUCUCUGCAAAUUUUUCGGUUGCUCGUCUGCCCCCAUAUAUAUGUAUGUAUAUGUGUGUGUGUGUGCGCGCGCGCGCUCUAAAAUUUCGAGGGAAAAAUUUCAAACAAAAUGAUUGACCACAUCGGGCGAAAGGGAAUCCGGUUCCUAUUCCGGAACCCGGCUGCGGAACCGACUCGCGGGCCACUCUGCAGCAAUGCAGAACUCGUCGGGGUAACCCAAAAGGACCCGGAGACGCCGUCGGAUGAUCGAGGCAGAGUUUUCUGUUCUGUAUGAGCGUUCGAGUUCCCUGGAAUCGCCUAGCGCGGAGAUAGGGUUUGGAACGCGAAGAGCACCGCACUUGCGGCGGUGUCUCGAUCUAUCCCUCGGACCUUGAAAAUCCGGGAGAGGGCCACGUGGAGGUGUCGCGCCGGUUCGUACCCAUAUCCGCAGCAGGUCUCCAAGGUGAG